rnacentral:rRNA from 1 species
UACGUAGGGUGCAAGCGUUAAUCGGAAUUACUGGGCGUAAAGGGCGCGUAGGCGGCCCUGUCAGUCGGGUGUGAAAGCCCGGGGCUCAACCCCGGAAUGGCACCCGAGACGGCGGGGCUGGAGACCGGGAGAGGAGGGUGGAAUAGCCAGUGUAGAGGUGAAAUUCGUAGAUAUUGGCUGGAACACCAGUGGCGAAGGCGGCUCACUGGCCCGGUACUGACGCUGAGGUGCGAAAGCGUGGGGAGCAAACAGG